rnacentral:rRNA from 1 species
CCUACGGGAGGCAGCAGUGAGGAAUAUUGGUCAAUGGUCGGGAGACUGAACCAGCCAAGCCGCGUGAGGGAUGAAGGUCCAGCGUAUCGUAAACCUCUUUUGUCAGGGAACAAAGCCGGGUACGUGUCCGCCUAUGCGUGUACCUUAAGAAAAAGCAUCGGCUAACUCCGUGCCAGCAGCCGCGGUAAUACGGAGGAUCGGAGCGUUAUCCGGAUUUGUUGGGUUAAAAGGGUGCGCAGGCGGGCUGUUAAGUCUGCGGUCAAAGCCCGGGGCUCAACCCCGGCCCGCCGUUGCAACUGGCAGGCGCGAGUUGGAGAGAAGUAGGCGGAAUGCGCGGUGUAGCGGUGAAAUGCAUAGAUAUGGCGCAGAACUCCGAUUGCGAAGGCAGCAUGCCGGAUCGGAACUGACGCUGAGGCACGAAAGCGUGGGUAUCGAACAGGAUUAGAUACCCCGGUAGUC